GUUUUUGUAGUUGAAUUACAACGGUGGUUUUUCAUAUCAUUGGUCUUAGUUGAAAUCUAGGCAGAAACU
rnacentral:tRNA from 1 species